rnacentral:rRNA from 1 species
UACAGAGGGUGCAAGCGUUGUUCGGAAUUAUUGGGCGUAAAGGGCGCGUAGGCGGUGCUGUAAGUCUGUGGUGAAAUCUCUGGGCUCAACUCAGAGUCUGCCAUAGAAACUGCAGUGCUUGAGUGUGGGAGAGGCGCGUGGAAUUGCAGGUGUAGCGGUGAAAUGCGUAGAUAUCUGCAGGAACACCCGUGGCGAAAGCGGCGCGCUGGACCACUACUGACGCUGAGGAACGAAAGCUAGGGGAGCAAACAGG